CUUUGAAUUCCCAAAUAAAAACAGAACAACUAGACAGCCAAAUCAAAAACCCAUGAACACAUUUACAACAAAACUUGGUGAGAAGAUAUCCCUGCAAACUCCCAGAUCCACAAAGACCUGCAUGGUACUAACAUCUGUGCAGGAGAAAGCACAGGGGCUUUCUCUGUGGGACUUCUGAUGGAUCUGAGAACAAGAGAAUCCCCAAAUAGUCAACAGUCGUUCACUGGAAAGCAUGGCAGGCCAAGCUGAGGACAGCAUUUGUAACUGGGAAGAGGUUUGCCAACUCCAAUAGCAGAGAUGGAGUUCACUAUGUUUCCCAGGCCGGUCUUGAACUCUCGGGCUCAAUCAAAGGAGUAGAAACAAUGCAAAUGGCAACAU
rnacentral:lncRNA from 1 species